rnacentral:lncRNA from 1 species
GUUUAUGCAAAAAUGUGUACAUAAAUGAUUAUAUCAGCAUUAUUCUUAAUAGCCAAAAGUGGAAACAAUUCAAAUGUCCAACAACUGACGAAAAGAUGAAGUGUGGUAUAUCCAUAUAAUGGAAUAAUAUGCAGACAUAAAGUGGAAUGAUUGACACAUGUUUACAACAUGGAUGAACCUUGACAACGCUGUGUUAAGUUAAAGAAGCCAGACACAAAAGGAUUGUCAACACUGUGGCAAUUGAAAAUAACAGGAAUAACUGUUUUAUGACAAAUGGACCUGAACCCUAUGAAAUGAAUUUGCAAGCACUGGCACAGUUAACAUAUGCUACAAACAACCAUCUUCAGACAGUGUAGCCAACCAACUGUGCCAGACUUAAACUGACGACCCUGAGGUGAAUCGUUCUAUUGCCACAACAUUUCUGAUCCUCAAGGCUCUCCAUGCUCCUAAACUCUUUUCUUUAAUAUUCUACAGUGUGUUUAUUUUCACGGCUAUAAAGUCAUACUCAGAUUUGCAAUGAUAUUUACUACCAUAUUUCAGAGUGUUUUAACUGAUGUUAGUUCAAAUCAAUUCUGGAGAAACUUUCCAGCCAAGGGAAUUGCAAGCUAGCUGGUUGACAUUGGAGGUCAAAUACUCCAGGGUAUGGGUCUCAAAUCACUUAAUUCUUCACAGCAAAUUAGAAACGGGACUCCAGCUGGUGCUAAAGAAUAAGACAGACUUGCUGUAUAAGGACAAGCUGCUGCUUGGAUUUCGAGUCUUUAUAUUCCUAAAAUAAAAAAUGUG